rnacentral:rRNA from 1 species
CCUACGGGAGGCAGCAGUGGGGAAUAUUGCACAAUGGGCGCAAGCCUGAUGCAGCCAUGCCGCGUGUGUGAAGAAGGCCUUCGGGUUGUAAAGCACUUUCAGCGGGGAGGAAGGCGGUGAGGUUAAUAACCUCAUCGAUUGACGGUACCCGCAGAAGAAGCACCGGCUAACUCCGUGCCAGCAGCCGCGGUAAUACGGAGGGUGCAAGCGUUAAUCGGAAUUACUGGGCGUAAAGCGCACGCAGGCGGUCUGUCAAGUCGGAUGUGAAAUCCCCGGGCUCAACCUGGGAACUGCAUUCGAAACUGGCAGGCUAGAGUCUUGUAGAGGGGGGUAGAAUUCCAGGUGUAGCGGUGAAAUGCGUAGAGAUCUGGAGGAAUACCGGUGGCGAAGGCGGCCCCCUGGACAAAGACUGACGCUCAGGUGCGAAAGCGUGGGGAGCAAACAGGAUUAGAUACCCGAGUAGUC